AAACUUUCAACAACGGAUCUCUUGGCUCUGGCAUCGAUGAAGAACGCAGCGAAAUGCGAUAAGUAAUGUGAAUUGCAGAACUCAGCGAACCAUCGAAUCUUUGAACGCACAUU
rnacentral:rRNA from 1 species